ensembl:lncRNA
CCCCCCUCGUUCUCCCCCCUGGGUGCGUGUGUGCGUACCCCUCCCGGCGGCUGACCCCAACCCAGGGCUGACCCUUGGGAAGGAGGGGAUCUAGAGAGGGGACAGCCCCAUUUCGCACCCAGGUGUGCUGCAAUCCGGGCGGGUUGGGUCCCUUCUCCUUAACCCCCGCCUCGCCAGCCGCCGCCGGCGCUCCCCGGAGCCCCGCUCCCCCCGCUCAGCCUCCGCUGCUCAGCCUCCGCUGUACCGCGCUGCCUGCCGCCUUCCUCCCCCCACCGCCCAGCCGCGAUGCAGCAGCAGGGAUGGAGUUGUAGUGGUGCUGGGCGGAGGGGGUGAGGUAAGGGUGGGGGGGAGGUUUGCCUGAUGAUUUUUUUUUUUAAUUUUUUUUUUUUUUUCCUCCAAGUGAGGACUAAUACCAUCACUGGGCCUGCUCUCUUUUUCCCUUCCUGCAUUAGAGAUUGGCUAUAAGGAGAAGGCUGACGGCUGCAGCAUGAAGCGCAUUAUUACCUUGUGAUUCCAUGACCCUCCUCUAUGCAUCCCUAACUCUCGAAAGCUGAUUCAGCUUUCAGCUAGUGCUCUGGUGAGUCCUCUGCUGCAACAGAAGCUCCUAACUGGUAUGUCUCUUUUUUUCCUUCCCCUCUUCUGCUCCCUUUCUUCCCUCUAACUGCACUAGCUCAGCUCGUUUUUAAACACUUUUCUGACCGAUGCAGGACUGAGUGCCCAUCCAACUUACCCGGGGACUUAAAUGUCUGCUUUUGCAUCCGGCAAAUGUGUGUGUGCUGCGUGUGUGUGUGUCUGUGUGGGGAUGUGCCGGCUGCCUCUAAUCCAUGGAUGAGUUGGGAGACCUUCCCCCCACCUUUAUUCUUUUUUGUUGUUGUUGUUCUGCUGUGGCAUACUCUGCAUUUAAAGGGGGGGAAAAAAAAAAGGAACAAACUGCAGAGCAAGCAGUGCACUAUAAUAAUCUGAACUGAAAUGUUAGAACUUUGACAUGCAGCCGUUCUGCAAGGUUAAACUGGCCUUUAAAUGCCUAAUUCAGAGCCAGGCUGGCUAAUGACACCUAGGGGGAUUGGGGCUUCAUUUAUUUAUUUGCACCAAACUAGUGGCUCUGAGCUAAUACCAAACAGAGCAAAAGGGUGAAAUGUGGUUAAACUUAGCCUAACUUGCAGUGAUCUCAGUGCUGCGGUGAUUAACUGUUCCAAUGCCGAGAACUGAGCGUUAAUUGCGGACGCAUGGCUUGUGGGCAAUCAGAAAGGAGAUGCAAGGAGAAGUUAGGUUUUCCCUGCAAGGGGUUUGAAUUCAGGUUACACUUCAUCCAUCAAUCGGCUGUUAUUGCUUUUGCAGCUGAGAGUUAGCUGUGGUCAUUAUAUUUUAUAUGAUAGUGGUGAUACCUGAUCACAUAAAUGUAUAUGCAUUGGUAUUGUGUGAGGGGUACUGUGUUAUAUACACGCAUGCACACAAACUGGGAUAUCUUUUAUAGCAUGCAUAUGUAUAUUUUACACGGCUUUAUACAGAGAUAUUAAAUGCUAUUAUAAACAGGUGUAGCACAUGAUCCCAAUUCAAUGCACCUUCAGUCUGUGCUUGGAGUAUGGCUAUUUGCAUAUGUCUGUGCUGGAGAGAGUGUGCACUCAGCAGUCGUGUGUAAUUGUGGAGGCAGAGCCCUGUGAUCUGGCUGGCAGUUUAAUUGCUGGUUCCCUGGUGCGGGUGGCCAUGCUGCCGCCCCAAAGGACUGAGCCUGGUCCAUUCCCUGCAGCUCGGCCCUGCUGGCUUUCCUUGGCUGUGCCCAGCCCCAAACCAGGCUGCCUCCAAGUCCCUGAAGUUUUGCACUGCACAGCCACAGCCUGACUUUGCCACCGGGACUGGAGGAGCUCCUCCAGAAUGGGAUAGAGGGAGCAGGUGUACAGCAUCAUGCUUCCAUCCUUCCCACUCCCUCCAUCCCUCCAUCUCCAUCCUUCCCUUUUAUUUGCUCCUUGCACUCUGCACUAUCCACAUUCCCAUGCAUUUUUCCCCCCACAACAACCACAAUUUUAUUGUGCAGCUUUUUCUGCUCUGGGUGAGCCGAGGUGUGUGGAGGAUGCUGGGCGAUGCUCGCCCACCACCCAUUACUCCUGGUGCUCACUGUAGGAUGUGGACCACAAAGUGCCUCUGGCGUCACCAUUAAAUCACCACCACGCCGCAUGUCUGCUCCUCCACCAGCAGGGCCAACCCUACAACUCACGGGCAGAUUGAAAUCUAGAUCCACCGCCUUUCUGGGAGCAACCAACAGAUGAACCUCCCUGCUGCGGUUGUUCCACUGUCUUCAAUAUUUGUAAGGAUUUUAUGUGCCGUCUUUUAGUUCCCUGUAGUUGGCUGGCAUCCCCUUCUCCUGCUCAUCUGCAGAAGUUUGGGACAGUUCAGGACAGUCCAUGGCAGGUGGAUUUCAGGAAAGCAAAUCGGGAGUGAGGUGAAAUGUGCAAUGGUCCAAGACGUCAAGUAGCUGUUCUGUUCCGUUGCUUGGCCUGUUGGUGUUUGUCUGAGGGGAAUUCAACAUGGCCAAGCGACUUGGCCAUGUGAAACCCACCUGAACUCAGUUCUUUGUGGGCUUUUGAGGAAUUCUUUUUAGAAUCGGAGCACCCAGGCUUUCCCUCACGCUCCUCUCCCUUCACUUUAAUUUCACUGCAGUCAUGCAUUAUCAUGGUGCCACAGCUCCAUCUCUCUUCCCAUUACUCCAAACCAGUGGUGGAAAUUUGCCUCAAAAUGAGACAAAUGACGACAUUUAGUGGGGCCAGAAGCCCUGUGGCAGUGAGGAAGGGCACAGUGCCGAACCAGCACUGGGCUCACACCCACUCUGCUGCGUGGUGCGUGGCACUGAGGGGUUGGGGCGAGCCCAUGGGUUUGCACCCCGGCUCUGCGGGGCUUUGCAGCCUGAUGGUGUGGAAGUCAAUCAGCACAGGGAAGUAUUUACUCCCACUCUCCCAGUGAUAUAUUUCACAAAGCAGCGGAAAAAAAACAAACAAAAAACCAACAAAACAAAAAAAAAAACCACCCAACACAUCGAUACAAUUAAGUAUUCCAAAGUGCUUACUUUGCCACUUGCUAAGUUUACUUAAACCCUCUUUAAAGGCUUCAUUAGAAACCGGUGAGAAAUGGCCAAAUUCAUUAGCGUCGAGGCAGGCGUUGUGCAUUUCGCCUGCAAAUUGCAAUCGAGCGGCGGCGGGGCGAGGGGCGCAGGUGAGCGCACACCCGCUGUGCUGAGCGAGCGGCAGCGCCCGCCGUGACCUCCGGAAUGCCGCCCUGCAUUCAGCCCAGCCACAUUGUUCCGGAGCUUUAAAGCUCAGCGUGGCUGCUGGCGGAGGGCAGAGGCAACGGGAACUGAUGGCUGCGUGUGGGGAUGAGCCCCACGGGGACAACUCCGAAAGACUUUUUUGGCCUAAGCCACCAGCACGGGGCUGGGGCUGCUUUUUAGUUUGCAUCUCUGCUGGUGUCUACCCCAGGUGUGGGGCUCCGCUGGAUGACUUGUGAAAAGCGAAUUGUUUUUUAUAUACGUUUUUUGAAUACCCCGAAAUCCCCCGCCCUUCUCCCAAGGUAUAUUGGGGAUUGUUUGCUGCAAGGUAGUGUCACACUCACGGUGACCAGCAGAGGAAAAAUCACUGGAUUCUUUAGGUAAGAUGCUUUCUUCUUCCUAUGCCUUAAUCUCUACUUAGUGCUGGAAGCGAUGGCGUGUCUGUAGCUGGUGAGUUCUCUUGCUCUGCCAGAUGGAGCACUUCUUGCUGGUGUUGCUUUGUAAAUCAGUGCCGGAUGCUGGAUUUUGGCUUUCUGAAAGCAAAUUGGCUUCUUGUUUCUAAAUUGCAGGAUGGAGGCGAUCGGGAUUUGAUAUCUACUUAACCUCCACCCACAUGGCUUUGUCUAAAUCUAUAUACACACACAUAUAUAUAUGCAUAUAUAUAUAUAUAUACACAGAAAGCAAAUUCCUUCAACUAAAGCCUUUUUAAUUGCUGAAAGUUUGCAAUUUCAGUGAAAGCAUCCUCUUUGUAGGGGGGCUGGGAGUGGGGCUUUUCCUCUGUGCCAUUCCAUGACAAAGUGCUGCAGGCACUCCAGGCAUUGCCCACUGCCUCUUCCCAGCCCUAAACCCCAGCAACCUGCAGGGGCAGAGCCGGAAUGACCAGCAAGGGGAGUGAGUGUGUGUGUGUGUGUGUGUGUGUGCAUGCAUGUGUGUGUUUUGCACAUGGGCUGCCUCAAACUGUGCUGUAACUCACUCCUGGGAAGUAAAUGGCACGCCAGCCCUAUUUCCUCCCGUGUACAUAUAAAUGCGCAUAUUGAACCUACCUGCUUGAGAGACAUACUUCUUUAUAUGCCCAUAUGAACCUGGCAAUCUAUGGAAUGUAAAGAAGUAUGUAUUUCAGGUGGGAACUCUUCUCGGAGGAGCAAUGUAUGACCCCGUGUGAAGGGGGGGGGGGGGAGGAAGACAGACAGAUUUUUGUCUUUUUUUUUUGAGAUGCCUGACAUGGCAGACUGGCUGGGGAGUCAAUUGGUGAUCUUGUUCCAGUGCGUGUAUUGUUCUGUCACUUUGCCUGUGUCAGCAGGUGGAAAUGCUCAUCAGGACAUUAAAUAUUCAAUAUGCUGACUGCGGCAUGGGCUUUGAAAGGCGAUGCCAGAGGAAAGCUGGCUGUCCACUCCUGGUUUUCAGCGGGGAUACAGACCAGUCCCUCCGGAUUGCUGCUUCCCCCUCGGCCCUUUUUCCCAAAAAUAAGGCUGGGUAAAAGAGCUGGUCCUUAAUCCUAGGGAAAAGGAAAGGAGUUGGAGGCGGGGAGAAGAAGGGAAGGAGUUGUGACUUGGAGGUGCAGUAUUUUGGCUUCACGUAAAUACGCAGACAGCUUUUGGGAUGUUUCCUGUGUUAAAACUUUUUGUGCUUAAUGCUGGAGAGGAAGCAAUGUUCACUGUGCGUGUGUUGGCCCUUGGACAUGGCCAGUGGGUGCCCAGCUCCCAGCCAGAGGCAGUGAGCGCUCCCAGUGUGUGUUAUUAGAGGGUUAUUAGAGGGAAAUAAGGAAAAUAGCACCUUGAAUUUGAGAAGCUUUCCUGGUGUUCUGGUUUUCCUUUUUAACCUUUCUCAUCGUAAAACACCUGGUUAUUCUCCCAGCAUCCCACGGCAGUGAGAUGCAAUGAUACAAAUGGGUGUAACGUUCUGUGCGAACAAUCAGAACUUUCUGUCUGGGUAGGGGCGGGUGAAGCUUUCAGCCCCCAUUUUCCUCAAGCUUAUGAGAUGCACAUAUCUGGGCUGUUAGGCACUGCAUUUCUCCAUCCCACCUACUCGCAAACUUAUCCCCAUCACCCCGCCGUGCAGCCGAGGGCACAGCAGUGUUCUGCUCUGGAGCAAGUUCCCUCUGGUUUCAGCACAUCUCUGUGCUUGGCAAAAGUGCUCUGAAGGCCUUUGCUGAGCCUCAGUUUGUUGUGAUUCAUGGCAAGCACUGCUGCCACUUGUUACACGUACACCAAAUGGGGUUUAACGGAAAGCAGGCACUUGUGAAUAGCAGGUUAAGUAAGGAGGGCUGGGCUCUUAAGGAGAUUUCCAAUGUACAGAAUUCUGUAAGUUUUAUAAAUCUUUCUUUUUUUAGAAAGAUGAUACAAGUGGUGGACACACAUGGAGUGCUCAACCUCUGCUUGGGGGAGGAGGGACCUCUGCUUUGCCAGGUGCUUUGAGGAGAGGCAUUGUCCCCUGGACAGGGAUGGGUCCCAGCCACUGAGGGUGUCCUGCCCCAGUUUGGGGCCACAAUUAAAUACAAAGGUGCUGGGAAAUGAAUAGAGACGGAGCAGCAGAGUUCCCAUGGCCAAACAGGGCUGCAAUUUCUCUCACUUGUACAUCACUGCUGGGAGCUUGACUUGCUGUGUGAAAAAUGGGGAUGAUUCUCACCAUUCUGGCCACAAUAGCAAUUUCCCUCCUCUCCCAGGUGACCUUUUACCCUACCUCUUCUCGAUUCCCUUUUCCUCACUGCUUUCCUCUCCUUCCUUCUUUCCUUGUCUUCUACUUGUGUGCUUCUCAUUUUCUCCUUAUUUCUAGCUUGCUUUCUUGCUUUCAACUCCGCUCUUAUAUUUUUCUCUUCUUUAUUUUCUUUUUUUUUUUCUCUUUUCUUUCAUUCUCUCAUUGUCUUGCUCUUUCUUUUUCUUGUUUUCUUCUCUUUCUCUGCAUUCUCAGCGCGGGUGUUACUGAGCCUUCCACAUCACUGUGCAUAUCUCUAGCGAAGGUGCUCAUGGUCUGAUUUACAACAGAUACCUGCAUCCCUAAUGCAAUUUUUAUCUCCUUCCCCCUCUCUGAAUUAAUAUGCUUGUUAAUCACACGGAAUUGCUAACUUUAGGAAGUCACUAAGUGUUCAGAUUUAUUUUUAUGUAAAUAUUUUCAAAACCAUAACUCAGCUCUGUCUCACGGUGUGGGAGCCACGUGGUGGAGGUGUGUGGGUGCAGAACACAUCCUGAGACCCUACCCCAUCUCUGGUGCAGUGUGGCAAUGCCAAAAAAUAAAUAGAAAUGCUGUAAAGACCCCAAAACCACGUCAGCCCUUUAGUCAUUAGCAUCGUCCACCAGUUUGCGCCAUUCUUACUCUUAGCUCCAGCUCCUUCUCGCUUUUCUUCUUGUUUGGAUUAAAACUGUGACUGUUCCUCCACACUAGGUCCUCCCUAUUUCUUAGCUUGAAGAAAGCCUCUUCUCCUUCGCUCUCCAUAGAGCAGAGCUGCAGGUUCUGUGCUGAAGCGAGGCGCGAUGCUCGGCUGUGCCCAUCCGUCCCGCAAAGCGCGCACUGAGCGGUCCCACCAGCAGAAACGGGAGCUCUGAGGACUGUAAAAGCCAUAAAUCCAGUGGACCAAAUUAGUUACGUUUUCCUAUUCUAUGCCUCACAAAACCCAUCCGUUCUUGAGAUGAAUUUUCUGCACAUAAGAGGAACUACGGGCAGGUAUAGAAUGGGAAUUUUGCACACGCGCAUGGGAGCACGGGGAUGAAUUCGUGCUGUGUGUUUUCCCCUGAAUUAUUUUUUUCCCUUUCAUGUGUUUAUGUUGAUGAGCUAUUAUUACUUUUGUUGCUAUUACUUAAUACUGGAAGACAGGUGGUCCAAUAAAUCCCAGCACUCUUCUUUUGUAAAAAAAAAAAAAAAAAGGGGGGGGGGGGCAUAUUUGCAAUUCAAGUUUAAUAGUGCAUUCAUCAAGAGCAAUAAAGCAUUCAUUUUAUUGCACGAGUAUUUCAAGGGAUGUGCUGGCCCUGGUGAAAGCAUUAGUAAAGGGGUGCAUCAGCAAUCUCAUUUAAAACUGUCGACCCAAUGUGAAAAAUGUUGCGUUGAAGAAUAAACUGCUAUUAAGCAUGAUUAGAUUGACCUGCAGGACAGAUAUUUUAGCUGCUGCAGCACAAGUCGAUCAAAGUGAGCAUCGCUUAGAUUGCAAAUUUUUUUUUUUUUAAUGCCCUAAAUUAAAAAUGAAAGAGCCUCAGAAUAUUUAGGACCAGAGAGUGACUUUGGGGGUGAGAUUUGUGUGUUUGAUUUGAGGAGGUUUGGAAAGGUGGAGAACGGGGGGAAAACAUAUUAAUUGCUGCCCCUUUAGCAUACAUUGAAAGUAUGUUACUCGGAUCAACCAAUCAAAAAAGAAAUUGUGCUGACUCAGCAUUCGGGCUAGUCUGCACGUCCGAUUGCAGAAGAGAUCAGCACUGCACUGCAGUAUCUUUCCCUGCCUUUGACACCAGCCUAGCUGGGCAGGGCUUCCCUUGUGCUUCCCAGGACUGGGUUAGGCCAAGAACAAGAGCGGGCUCUGAAGAAUCGAGGAGAGAGACAAGGUUGCAGGAGCCUUGAGCUGCUCCGAGGCUUUUUAGUCUGUAAGCAAGAGCUUCCAUGCUAGGUUUGCCCUGCCAGAUGCGAGCGGCAUGUAUUGCUUGGGAAUAUAUCUAUUUUUAAAGAGUUUCACCACAUCUUGCACUUCACGGUGGCUGUGGGCGAGGGGGUGGUGUGUUCCUUGCAAGAGAAAUAUCCUCGCUCCGGAGCUCGCAUCCCUCCCCUGAAAGCCGGGCGCUGAUUUCAGCGAUUCCCUCCCAGUGAAGGCGCUCAGUUUAGCGCUUUCUGCUGAAGUUGCUCUUGACCUGAAGCCAUCAUGCAGCAAGAUGCUUCCCUGUUGGGAUGCAGGGUCAUGGCGAGUGCAGCUCAUUGCACCGCCUGCUUGCUGGGCUGCAGGCAGCUAUGCUGCUCCCCUGCCUUGCAUUCCCCCAGAGGGAGGGGGCUGCUCAUGUAGAGAUGCUGAAGCCAUUGCAGGGAUAGGACUGGAGAAGGUCUUGGUGCAAUUACCCAAGAACAAGCUCAUUCUGAGUGUGUAAUGGCCAAAAUGCAAAGUCUUGUGCAGCCUCCUCAACAGGCAGAGCUCCAAGCCGCCUGCCUCCUCUGACACCCUGUAAUUCUCCAAAGGAGAUUCUGCUCACACUGUGUAAGCAGUGUCAGCAUUCACCCUUGCUUUGAGCUUGCAUUUCUUGCAUAGAGGUCUGUAUGAAGGAACAGAGGCCAAUAGCCAUGUGCACGGGUGGAAGGUUGUCAGAGGACAGACACACUUGGAAUAAGAGGCAAGUUUAUAGUGAAGCUUUUAGCAGUUGGAGCAGUUUUGGUGGUGCUCAGGAUGCUUUGAUGGAAACAGGGUGCCUGACAUCUUAAAACAGAUGCAGCUUUUCCUUUUUUCCCUCUUUUUUUUUUCUUUCUUCUCUUCUCGAAGCACAGCACUCUGCCUGUGCCAUGUCCAGAUAUGGCCUGCGCUGGGAUGGGAGCUGCUAGCUAAAAAAGCCACAGGCAGCCCAGCGGGACCAGCAGCAGCUGGUAUAAAUAGUGCUCAUUCUCAGCUGCCCCUCUGCCGGGCCGGAUUAGGUGGCAUCUGGGCAGCCAGGGGCUCGUGACCACCGGCUGCAGAAGUCCCCAAGCAGCUGUGAGGGCAGGAGCCGUCCCUGCAAAGCCCUUACAUAGGCACGUCGACCCUGGCAUUUGGGGGGUCGGGUAAAGCUACCGGAGCAGGAAUCCGGUGACCUAAGAAUGAUCAGGAAUAAAUUUCAUCGCGGCAUCCAGGCAGAGCUUCCAAUCUGGGACAUGGCCCAAGGUUGGAGGCAGGAUCUGGCCUUCUGCUUUUUACCCCAUUGCAUGCAUGUGGAAUCUGCAGGGAUGGUGAAGCAUUGCUCAGAGUGGCCAAGAUGCGGUUGCGUCCCCCUCUAGGACACAAUGAGUUAAUUUACUGUCAGUGAGAUUAUUGGAAUCUGAUUUAAUACUUGUGUUUACUUCAGGUCAACAAAUUAAAAAAAAAAACAAACCAACACCACAACAAAGCUUAAUAAUUUAAGGCACCAGCUUGAUGGAGGCUAAUAGAAAAUAAUGCAUCUCGUGCAGAGAUUUCCAUCCCAAGCUUGCAGAGCAUGCAGUGUGUGCCCCUCCUGCCAUGCCUGCAGUCAAUGCCAUGGGAAGGGGCGGUGUGGUGCCUGGAGGCAGCUCAUGAUGUAUGGAAGUAAAAAAAUUGAGCAGUGAAUGGGAUUGGUUUGACUGAGUGGAGAUAAACGCGCAGGCAGUAGCUGAAAUGUGAUGUGCGUAGUGGGGGAUGUGGGAUAAAACUCUGUUGGCAUCACAGGUCAGAGUAGAGAGGGUCUGCUGGCGGGCAGGUGAUGCAUGGGUGGGCACAGGUGAUACUCAGCGUAUGAGUAAAGGUUGUUGCAGAGUGUGUUGGGGAUGGUCCCAAAGUGACCACAGUCUGGGUAGGAGAUGCCUGGAGCCUUCAGGUGCACUGGGAGAUGCGGCACUACUCGCAGGGUGAGAUGGCAGUUCCUUAGUGGGGAAUGGCUUCACCGCUAAAUCAGUGCCGGAGCUUUGUCCCUUCCCUUCCUUGCCGUGUCAGGGCUCUGAGCCACACCAGGUUGUGUUCUUUAAUUUAAGCUUUGUCCUAAAGCCUUGUCUCAGAGAUAAUAAGACGCACACACAUACGCACCCACUAAAAUCCAUUGUGCCAUUUUUGCAAAGAACAGCAGAAGCUGCCCGUGUACCUUCCCCUCUCUGUCCUCCACACUCAUUUGGCCUAUUUGAAGUGGAAUUUAUUCCUGGGAAGGUCCCCAUCAAUUUGCCUUGCUCUUUUGUUGACAAGUUUAUUAAAAACCUGGGCAACUCCAUAUUAAACUUUUAUCAGUGUCGAGGAAGAAUACGUCCUUAGAGCGGCCACAAAAGUUAUGGAUUGGAUCUGAACAUUUCUUGUUCCACUGUCCAGCUGAGUCAGCUUAACAAAUAAAAGCUGCCACCUCCAUUUUUUUCCCUUCCUCAAGAGACAGUUCCCUUUCCCGUGUAAGUAACAGCAGCAAUAACACAAGGAGGUUUCAGGGCCGGGCAAACAGGAGCUUUUCUUUGCACCCACCAGUCCUUACUGCUGAUUAGAAUAAUAAUAUUAACAGAAAACAGGAAUAAAAUAAGAGCCCUGCCGGUAGUUAUAGCUUCUUACCUCUGAGCUAAUUGUUUGUGUAAAGUAAUCUCUACUUUAUAGACAAAUAUAUGAAAAAAAUACCCCCCAAAGUUAAUAUGGGUUGUACUGAGAGCAACGUGAGUAGUUUCACAUUUCCAUACCCUGCAAGGGCACGGAGGGUUGGCAGCGCGGCCGGCGGCAAUACUCGGUUGGGGAUGUGCGGAACCGUCGCUCUUAUUCCUUUAGUUGUAAGAUUAAACCAAGAGGAGGCCAACGUGUUGCAGGGGAGAUGUUAAAAAUAAAGCGCUGGCAUCGCAUAACCUAGUUCCUGUUUUGCCUUGCAAUGGAGUUUUUAUGAGUUGAAAGAAACCGGCGAAACAAUCGGUGAGACGGAUUUUGAGCUGCCAGAACGGAGACAGGCAGGGGAGAAGUGAACCGAGUGGUGGCUCUUAACCUCUGCCAGAUAAAUAAAUAAAUAUCUGUCCCCAAACAACAUAUUUCUUGGCCUGUCACCGCGUCCAAGGAUUUUUUAGUUCUUAAACAGGUUUGCUGGCAUAAUUUGUCAAGUACAACAGGGAGGUUUCCGUGUGACAGAGGAUCAUUUUUCACCGCGCACGGUGGGGCACCGAAACAGUCCUGCAGGCUCAGAGCAGCUCCAUAAUUAGAUAACAGUUAACAUACGUGUAUUAGAGGGAUCAUCCUUCAUGCUAUGGGGCACAGCAGAGCCUGCCACUGCCGAUACCGUGCUGUGCCGAAAGCAGGCAGGGAGCGGGCCGGACAAAUGCAUCUUACUCCAGGAGUUUAUCUGCAUCACCAUUUGCUCCAAUUAUAACUAAUUGGACACAUAUUGCAUUUUCAUAGCAUCUAAUUUUCUAUUGAUUUUAACGGGACUGAUGGUGUUUUGUACUGUUAAGUGGUAUCUCGUACCCGUUGUUGUUUAAAAAUGCUGAGUACACUCCCCUGUAUGGAAUUAUGCAGUCAGCAGAUGUUUUAAAACCUCUUUAAUUGUUCGGUCCAUAAAAUGCACAAAGUGUAUUAGGGAACAGCUUUGUUCUCUUUGAGUGUGUGAGUUUAAAAAUCCAAACUCCAAACUAUUUCUGCUGCCAGUUCCAGGAGCUGCAGCUCUCGGCGGGCAGCCCUGUCCCAGGGGUGGGCUCCCUGCUGCAAUGGAUGCUCCGCAGUUCUUAGGCUGUGUAUGAAGCAGGACCUUCAGCUCCAGGGUGAAAUUUGGAUUAAGACGAAGAUGUUCAUAUUGAGAGUCAAGAUUUUGAUAAGGUCACUUGUGGUCUCCUGUAUAACUAAGGAAUAAGCUGGUAAUUGGUAGGAUUUGGGGUUAUAUUCUCUGUUAUAGAUCUUGCUCUCUGUCUCGACAGUACGUCCAAAUAAAACCGGACUAUCAAAUUAGCCACUGCAUUUCAGCAAAUACUCAGUGAAGCAGGAUGAAAGCAAUAGUCCUCUGUUCAGCAUCAUUUAAAGAAGAAAAGAUUUAAAUGAGAUAUGUAGUGGAGGAGCAGAGAGGCAGCCGGGAAAAAGCUUUCCUAGCAUUGAUCAUUACAAGCAUGGUGGAGAUUUGAACGCUUCGGAUAUUGGCAUAUGAGGAAGAAGGUUUUUAUGCUGAGGGCGGUGAAGCACUGGCACAGGUUGCCCAGAGAGGUGCCCCAUCCCUGGAGACACCCAAGGUCAGGCUGGAGGGGCUCUGAGCACUGAUGGAGCUGUGGGUUUCCCUGCUCAUUGCGGGGGGUUGGACCAGAUGGGCUUUAAAGGUCUCUUCCAAAUCAAGCCAUUCUGUGACCCUGUGAUUAAAGGUAGAUAGGGCAGGCAAUAGGAUAUGGGAAUUGUUCUGCCUGGGGUGCCUGUGGGCUGCCAUCAACCCGCUGCCUUCUCCAGCCAUUAGCAAGAAUUGCAUCAUGUUGGUGGGAGACAGGUGGGAUCAUGGAGGUGUAUAAACUAAAUAGACACUUUAUUAAGUUCAGGUAAUAGUUUUGAAAGACUGAGUGGCUACUGCACUGUCAGCAGCUCCUUUAGUGCCCAUAGGAACUGAGUGCUUUUUAAUUAAGUCAAAUAAAAUCCAAGCGGAAGACUUCCCAGCCUUGGCUGAAGCAUAUUUUUUGGGUUGAAUACCUAUAAUUUUAGAAAUGUUAAUAAAACACAGUCCACUUUUUCCCCUGUAAUAAUAUAAAUUAAAUUAAUAUUUUAUGUCUGUAAGAAAAAGGAUAAAAGCACCGAGGUUGUAUUUUCUGGCUUACAAAUGGCACAUUGUGCAGAAUACAGCAACUGUGGCAUUGAUUUAAACAUCCUCGCAAAGACACCAUGCAAUAAAGUUGAAUCAUCUGCAGUACAAGUAUGGCUGUUUGGGGGAAAAAUAGCCAAAUGAGAGAGCAGACGUUUUCCUGUAUUAUCAAAAGCCACUUCAUUUUGGGGAAAAUUCCUCAGAUUUAGUGACAUUUGGAUGGAAAUCAAAUAACACAUUAACUUGAGGAAAGGGAAAAAAACCUUCCAAAGCUAAUUACAGAGGGAAUGUGCACUUCAUUAAGAUAAAGCUGUAAGAAAUCAAUGUUCUGUAUUGUUGUUUUUUCCUUUUGAUUGGAUUUUAGCAUGAUAAAUUGUUAAUGCAUUUGAUCUAAAAAUGAUUUGUUUAUUCAGAUGAAGAGCAACAGUACUUUGUCUCAUUUGGCCUUUUAGCUUAUAAUGAUAAUGAUUUCAAGAGAUGUUCAUUUCUCAAAAGGGUAUUGGACUGGAAUAAGCAGGAGAUUUCUGGACUCAGAAGGAUGGGCCCUACACAAGGGUUCCUUGUAGGCUAAUUCUAUUGCAUGUUGAAUCUUCUGCUUCAUUAGGAAUAUCGACAAAUGUUGAUAAAUUCUUUGGCUAUUCUGUGCUGUCUAUAUAAAACAUCUUCAUUAGAAUGUUGAGGCUAAAGCACAAAGGUCUUCAUUGCCCCAGGUUCUCUUAUGUUGCCCACUUUUGGCCCCACUUGCCAUGGCAGUGCUUUGAUAACACAGGGAUCUGGCUGCUCUCAGAAGUGUAAUCAUGAACUGCAAAGCUGACACUUAGACCAAAAGCAAAACCGAGGCAUUACACAGUGACUGGCAGAGAGGGGAAUGAGAUGCACAGCUUUAUUUUGCUAUUUUGCCUUGGAUUUGCUUCAGAGAUGUGUUCCUAUAUCUCCCCAGUGCCAUUCCACUAUGUGGCCAUUCCUGGCUGGGGCGGUGUCGGUCCCAUGGGCAGGGUCCUAGGGACAGAGCGACCAGAAAGGACCUUCCCAGUGAGACCCAAUUCCAAGCACUGCUGGGAGGAAACAACUGGAUGAGGAUGACCUUCAGACAGCAAACCUAAAUUUGGUGGCGCUGGGUCGCCCGGUCCUUGAACCUGGGAGGGCAAUAGGAAGGGUAAGUGACACCAAAGCCUGGUCUGACUGGGUUUCAGCACAGCUCACACCUUUGAACACAUCCAGCAAAGCCUCUGCAGUUCCUCUUGCUGCACUGCUGGCCGGGCCCAGGUGUGUGGGGGCUGUGAGCCCCAUGUGCUGCAGCCCUGCAGCAGAGGUGUGGGGAUGCUUUUCCUCAGUUCUGGGAAAGCCUCGCCGCCAGAGCCAUCGUUAGUCGUGAUUAAUGGCAUCCAGAAGAGAAAACCUAAUUUUCUAAAAAGGAAAACCUCACUCAUAACUCACUGCAGAGAAUUCAAACAAAACGUUACGGAAUGUCGGCGCGUGCUGGCAUUGAUUUCGGAUGUGCUGCGGGGCACUCCCUGAAGCAAAGCGAGGGGAACAGAGCAGCACUCAUCUCCAGCAGAAGAUGCUUGUUUUAACGCCCUUCCUGCCAAAACCAAUGGGAUGGGGACAGGACAAGGGCACCUGGAGCACGCCAUGCUGAUGUUCGGGCAGUUCAUUGCUCUGCCUCCCAAAAUCCAUAUGCCCGUCAGGGUUUAGCUUGCAGUCUCGGUGCAGCAUCGGUCACUGCUGGCACUUCCACCUCCUCCCGUUCUCUGGUAAAUAAUUACUUCCCUCCCUCCUAUAACUCACCAAAGGAUGAGUUUAAUACUUCUAGGUCCUCACUGUCUAAGUUUCCAUUUAGCUCCUUGGCUUGAUUGUCUCUUGAAAAGGUACCUAGAGAUAACUCGAUUAAAUUAAUUGUAGAGCUCUUUUAAAAAAGAUGUUCUCUCUCUCUUUCGCUCUCUCUCCGCAUUUAUUUAUAGGCAGCUUACAGUACUGGGGCUGGGCAGUUAAGUGAUCUGCACUACUUACUGUUACAAUGCAAAGCCUGGAUUUCUUGGGGACCAGCAAUACCGGCCCACAUGCAAUAUCUCUGCAUGCAGUGCCUUUCAGCACAGAUCUGAAAGCCAUGGAAAGCACUGAUUUUAAAGGUAGAUGAGAAAACUUGAGUUACCAGAAUGCAGGGCACGGGUGGGGAUAGCAGACAAAAGAUCUGAAAGAAAGAAGGCUGGAGGUGGCAAUUAAAUGACCUGGAUUAGGACACUACUCAGUCACACUGUGGUAGCAAUGCAGCUUCAAAACAGAGCCAAACACCGGGUUUAAAAGGCUACAGGCAGGCACUGAGUGCUGCAGACUGUUCCACUGCUUUUAAAACUGCCUCUUUAAUUCAGACUCGCUCUUCAGCCAAAGCUGCUAAGAAGCUUAAAUAAAUCCUGAAUGCCUGAAAGCGAAGCCAUGUGAACCCGUGCAACGUCAGGCAGCAAGUUCAGAAGAGGUCCUGGCGACUGUGAAGGAAAAGGCCCUGAGGAGUUCCCCUCUUUGCUUUGCAGAGCGUGAGGCCAAAUGCUUUGCUAAAGCUGGUAAAAUGGAACCAAAUCAACUGUUCAAUGGAUUUGGUCCCCUUCAACCAGCUGUAGCUGUGCAUUGAUCUCUCAGACGCACCUCGGAGGCUGACCCGGACAGCAGAAGAAAUGGGCACGUGAGAGGGGCCAAGGAGGGAUGCUGAUGGCUGGCGUCUGCAGAUCUGUCACCCGGGCUCUAAACUGGUGGGCUGAGCCCGAGCCAUUAUGUGGCUGCCAGUCAAUUCUGUGUAACGGAGACCACUCAAGAUUGAUAAUCUCUAUCGUCCUCCUGUAUUGAUCCCAGCUGUGAUUCAGGUCUGUGUAUUUCAAGUGCAAAUGCUGUACGUUUUACGUGUGAUUGCUCAGACACCUCCCCCCCAGGAGCCUCGUGCCUGUGUUUCAUCCGCUGCAAUGAAGAAUAAACGUUUUGAUCUGAAGUUCCCUCCUUGUGUUUUGUUCCAUGCGCUGAGCUGCUCACGAAAUGGGAAUUCUGGGGCUGGCAAGGCAGGGAAUGGGGUGGAAGCACCUGCUGCUUCCCAGCUGCCCCAAACUGGCCAGCAAUAUUGGGUGAUUUGAGAGAUAAUAGCUUUGUUCCAAAAAAAGUCUCCAUUUGAAUGUGUUGGGCUUAUGUUUCUAAAGACCUGUGAAGUGUCUGCUGGUCUAAUCCUCAUAAGCACAAAUAUUAUGCUAAUGGACUUAAAGAAAAUCACUGGUUUUCCCCAUGUCAUAAUGAUUGUUGGGAAAGGACGUUGGGCAUCAUCUCUUCCUAAGUACUGUAAAUCUAUAGGACUAUCACAAGCUAUUACUGCUGGUAUAAUGAGCCAUUUGGAUGCAUAAGUCUGAUAUGAGAUUGCUCACAUCUUUACUUUUUAAAGAUACCUGGCCCAGGAUAACCCCUGGCAUUAGAGGAGGCAGACAUUUCUCUCUUUUCUUAUGUAGGAAACUGGGUCGCCUGACUCCAGGUCCCCAGUCCCUCAGGUACCGGUUAAAUGUUCUUAAUAGUAUCAGGAGUAUUCACAUGCUUUAAGAGAUGGAGCUAUUUGCUAGAUUUGAGGUUUAACGUGCGUCUAAUUUUUAUGUCACUGAGUGUUUUAAAGACAAAGACAUGAGGAGCAGUGGAGCUGCAGGAGCAUCCCUCCUCAGCUAAAAGGAAACCCAUGCUUUCCUCUGUAGCUCAUUUUUCUCACCUUAAGUGUCAAAGCGUCUAUGCUGAAGUCCUACUGAAAUCCAAAUAGUGGUUUGGUUGUUGUUGUUUGUUUUUUUUCCAUGUAUUCCGUUAGAUCAGGCAAAUACCUGGUACUUUUUCCUGAGAACAAGUUGGGGUUGAGGAGCAUGUGCAGAGCUGAGGGCUCAGGUCUCCAGCUCUCCCCUUUGGGAAGCAGUAAUCGCUUCUCACACUGAAAAGAAUGCUUGGGUGUCAAAAGUUCCCUCAGAGUGAACAGCAUACACUGAGAAUACCUUCCAUGCUGAAAUCCCCUCUUGCUGCAGCCUGGGCAGUGAUGACAGAUAAGUUUCUAGGGAGCUUCUGGGAAGAUAAGUUGUUUGUUCUGUUAUUUUCUUCUUUUCCUGUGGUUCAUCAAUCUCUUAGUGUAAAUAUGUCGGGGAGGAGAAGCAGUUGUAUCAGCACUGAUCAGGUAUAUUUGCUGCAUUCGUUCUGAAAAAUGCAUAAGUGGGAAGCUGUGCAUGAACUGUUGGAGGAGGAUGUUCUCCUUCACACCACCCUGGAAAUAUAUAAAAGAAAUAAUAAUUAUUAUUUUUUUUUUUCCAAAAAUGCAACGUCUCUACAAACACCCACCAGUGCAUCCAGAAGGGCUUUAUCCUUGUCUAAUAGGAGAUGCCCAAGCCCUUACAACAUGAAGUUGCAAAUAUUUUAGCCUGUAAACAGAGGAAAGUGAGUAGCUCCAAUGAAUCCCUGCAGCAUCAUGGGGCAAAUUGACAUCCAUGCGCAGGAAGGAUGCUUGUAGCUUUACAGCCACAGCACGUGGCAAAAUAGCCAAUGGUCACCACCUCUGCAGCUGCAAGCUGCAGGCACGCAUUUUUGCACACUCCUUUCCCUGCCAAUUGUUUGCUUUGUAAUCAACAGUGCUGGUUUCUGGGCAUUAUCCAAUCCCACCCCCUAAUUUUGCAUCAAGUGAAAGCAUCAGUGAAGACAGGAAUGAGCGUGCAUGCAGAAUCGCUGUGCAAAUGCCACCCUAAAGCUCUUGCUGCCAAACCCAAGAUUCAUAAGCAAGGAAGGAUGGGGAUGAAAGCACUGGGGAAAGGAAUCUCCAGCACAAACAGGCAGUUUGGGCUGUGGGUGAUACUGGGACAGGUUGAGUAGAACCGGGUGCUUCCAGCAGGCUGUGGCUUGGCUUUCCAAAAUAGCAUGCUCCCCACUCCUGCAGUCUGGGUUAUUCUCCCUCACUCCCCAAGGCUGCAUUCGGUGUAAACAGCACCUUUAUUAAAAUUCUUCCUUCGGAAUGUUAAUUAAAUUACUAAAAAAUGACAAAUGGGGAAGCUGAAGACAUCACAACUGGAACAAAACCACGGAAUGUAACUGAAAAGGUUUUCUCCUGGUGAAGCAUGGGUGGACAAGGGCUCACCUGCUGCAGCAGCUCAGGGUGAUUUCUUUUAAUGGGGCUCCCAGGCUUUGGCUGUUGGCAUCUACACAGAUCCCAGGCACAUGUUCCUCUGCAGGAAAUACUGAAAGCAUUUGUUGUCCCAGAAAUCCUCCCAGAAGAGUUCUGGAUAUAUAUGGGAACAGCGGUAUGCAUCCAUACAACAUGUUAUAUGGGAGUACAUGGCAUUUUAUCAUCUGAUGCAGUUGUUGUGCAAUGAUGUCACACUACUUUGAUCACUCUAUAAACCCGUGUGCCAAAACAUCACCUUGGUCUGUGUUUUGGUACCCCACAGCCAUCUGAGCACUGAAUAGUAGGAAGCUUCCAUUUCACUUGAAGCAAGAAGAUGGAUGUGGGGAUUUUAAAGUUGGGCCAUGUAUUUAGGAGCUUAAACAUGGAUCUCACCUUCAGACAUCUACGUUUGGAAAUUUCUGCAGGUAUAUUUAUUGGUUAAUUAUAUCUUUAUGAAUGGGAACUUCAAUUCACUUAAUAAGGAAUUUGUAGAACGAUACAGGCUACUAUGAACCAAUGCAAGAAAUGUGGGGGCCAAGCCAAAGGCAGCUGUUAGACUUUGGGGGAACUUUCCAAGGACUGCUAAUAUACAGGGACAAACCUAAGACCAGGGCCAAAAAAUAAUUGCUAAUAUUCCUCCCAACAGUUUGUCUGUCAAACCUGUUCACCCUCAAAUCCCUUCUGAUGCUCUGCAUAGGAGCAAAUGGAGCUUCCAUUUCAACCAGGACAUGGACCUACCCAGGGUGUGAAAACUGGAUCCUCUCCAGUUGGCUUCUCAUAAAGCACAGCUCUGAGUGGAAGUUCUACCACUGACUUUGAAUGCCCCAGCAUCAGGCCCUGGCUCAGGGACUGCCAUCCUUUAGCCAACCACCCUGUAACUCCAUCAGGCCUAAUUGUCCUUCAUAGCCACUAACAGGCUGAUCUGAUGGCCCUCCAGACCCUGCUGGUUUCCUAGAAACCCUAUUAGCUUCUCAAACAAAGCAAUGCUGAGGACUCUGUCUUGCAAACCUUUUGUGCAAAUAUUAAAUAGCAGUGGAUAAUUAGCAGGAAUAAUCUUUUUUUCUUGACCUCUUCUGUAAUAAAGACCUUUGUCAGCAAAUGCAAACGUUAUUUUGAGCAGUAAUUCAUAAUCUAAAUCUGCUAAACACACCAGACUAAAUACACCUGCACUCUCAUAUCCAUAGUGUUUGUACAGGACUUUUAAAAGGGAUACAGACACAUUAUCUGUCCCAAAGACCUGAACACAUUCAUCUGUCAAGUGAGGCAGAGGAGGUGGCAAAAGAGGUGGUACAGAAGGGAAGAAGGAAAAUAAAACAGUAAAAAAAAAGUGCACAAAUAAAUUUACCCACUAAUUUAGAUUACACCUCUUGGGGCUCUACUCAUGCUUUGUGGGUAUUCUCCAAAUGAACUGCACGGUCCCAUUAACACCAAGAUGGCUAGCAAAAAAUCAGGUUGGCUCUCUUCCCUAAAGACAUCAUCCUCAUCCUUUCUUACCAGGAGAGAAAAAUCAAAUGGUUCCUUCAGCUUGUUGAGCAGGACACAAGCUUUGGACUCUUCCAGCCUGUUUUGGUUUCUCCCUCAAGACAAGCAGAGGGGUCUAAUGACUCUUGCCUCUUCCUCCCUAAUCUUCUAUUUAGCAAUAUCCUCUCUGGAAAUCCCCGAAAGAAAGGAGCUAGAAAUUGUCCCUCUCCUUUAGCAUUAGACCCACUUUUACCUUUGGUGGUCCACCAAUGCAUCUCUGGGCGCAGCAAUCAGAUUAUGUGGAUUUUGCCCACGGCAUUUUACUCUGCAGGUCCUUUUCCUUUGUAUGGUUUUUUUUUUCUUCUUCUUUUUUCUUUUUUUUUCUUUUUUCUGAGAGGAGAAAAAAAGAAAAGACAAGCAAACCAACAGGCAGAUAAUUGUUCUGUGCUGACAGUUUGUCAAGUGAAGGAAGUGCAAUUUUAGUCGAGAGAUCUACAUUACAGCGUUACUUGAGCAGAAGUCUCUUCUUUUACUCCCAGAUGGCAUUGACAUAUAGCCUGGAGGGGCUAUCAGGGUACAAAGCUAAAGAUGGUUAAAGACAUUAAAAACUGUACAAUAUGAGCACCGUCUACACUGGGACCAUCACCUAGGAUGAAGAUUCACCCUGACGUAUUGGGCAGAAAGCAAACUGAGCUGAAGGUAUUUUCAAGAUACAUGAAAAAAAUAUAUAUAUUCCUGCUCCUAACCGUGUCUUUUCUAGUGGGUCUUUAUUGACUCUUUAAAAACUAUGACCAAUAAAUGUAAUGAUCUGCCUUCCUCUUUCUUCCUGGGUGAAUGAUGGCUCCUGCAGGGUGUUUAUCACUGAGUGUAAUGGCUGGUUGAUCAGUUCGUGUCCAACUCCACUUCCCAGCAAGCUAUUGAACGCCUCCUCCUUGUCACGGGGCCGCCAGCAUUUCCCCCAUCCUGCCAGAGCUUCUGUUAAGCCGUAUAAUAAAUAUUGCACUCAGAACAAGAUUGUAAAUCUUGCCAUAGGACAGAGGGUAUUUGCUUUUCUGCCUUUCUUGAGUUUCGUGUUGCCUAAGUUGCUGUAAUGUACUUAAGCAGAGAACAGACUUAAUGCUCUUGCUUUCUUUUUAAUAAGAUGCAUAGCUCAUUUAUCCAGUAGGUGCAGCUGGAGGGGAAGAGAACUGCAAAGAGGGGACUUCACCUGCUGGAAAAUAUUCUCUACUUCCCCCAAAAGUGAUGAAAAUGUCAAUACUAUUGACACAAUCACUAAUUAAAAACGACUGCCAUAAUCAUGCAUAUGACAGCCGUAGGACAUCAGUUUGGAUUAAAUGUGAGCAGCAAGUUGUGCUGCACAUGGUUUCCAAAAGCAGAAAGGGCUGGGUGAUGUUAUCUGCUGUUGGAUGUACAUCCAAGAGAGAGAAGGAUGCUCUUAAACAUAGUUGCUCUUCUUUGCACAGCCCUGGUGCUUGCAUGGCCUGAAUUCUUCGCAGCAAUGAGAAAAAAGUGCGUCUGUUUUUACUUCCUUGUCCAUGUUUACUUAUUUGACUGAGGUUUAAGCAGUGCCCUCUGCUCUGUACAUAGUGUGGGCACCCAAUGUGCAGGCAGCCAUCCCAGCAGCUCAGUGCUCGUGCAUUGCUCCCAUUGAGUUGUAGUGACACCUCAGGCUGGGUGUGCAUAGCCUUUCCUCUUUCUCUCAAGGAGUAAAAUCCUUUUAUUUAGGGGUUUUAGCAUGCAGACUUACAACAAAAAAUAUCUUGUCAAUGCCCCACUUGGAUUAUUUCCUUACGCAUCGGUCUAACCGGGUGAGAAAGAAUUCCCAUUUAAAUGCCUACGGUUCUUGCAUUAUGCCUGUGAUAUGAAUGCAUGCCCAGGCAUCUCAUCUACUCCAGGUCAUUGUCUUUAAUUGGACAAGACCAAAAAUAAACACUGCGACCUUCCACAUAGUCCCAGGGGCUCCAGGGUGGGAUGGAGCCUGUUGGUUCUUAUCUAAGCAGAAAUGUGAAUCACUAGGAAAGUGUAUGUGCCUUUUCAUGGUGUGGAGCAUGGACCAAUGAGCCCUAAACCUCAGGAAGGACAGAAAGAGGGCCAACCCUCUGAGUAGGGAGAGUUGUUAGUCUCAGACAGAAGGAGGACAGCAUUCAACAAUUGACACUUCCCAAAUCUAAUCAGCCUGACCCCAAAACUACCAUUGGAAAGGCUUACGAUAUGUGCCCGUCUCCAUUGUAUAGCAGAGGGAGGAGUGUAAAGCUGUCAAUAAAAACUUGAAAAAAAGAAAGAUUUUAAGAAACCAAGGAACAGAAAGAAUGUGUUAACUAAGAGUUGGGCAGAGUGCUUCCAUCCUAGUGGUGGUGGAAGAGCCAAAGGUUUCCCAGUGAUGCACUUUUUUCAUUUGAAACCCUUGGUUGUUCCACCCAGCGUGCAGUUUGACAUUGGGAGUUUUUUAUGUGGCAUGUUAGGAGGUCCUCAAGCAUGAACUAAUUGAUUCAUGAGUGGAUGAAUCCGAUGCAUCUUUUAAAUGGAAAACCGACAUCAUUCUCCAUCAGAGAUCCGCUAAUAAAGCACAUUUACUUGGUUAAUCCAUUUUUUUUUUUCUGUGCUAAGUGCACUGUAUAAGGUAUAAAAAUAUCAAAUCAAUAGGCAAAGAGUAUAUAAAAACAAGUGAGCAGUGUGAGCCACCCUUGGGUGGGCUCCUUGCAGGACCUGAGUUGGAUCCCACUCCCAACACUGCACAGAGCAGCGGGGCUGCAGUGCACAGCUGUCCCUAUGAGCCCCAGGGGACAGCGGGUGCAGAGCCACCUGCUUUGGGGCCUCGUGGCACCACACUGCUCCCUAUUUUAAGCAGUAACUGGGUUAAAGGUGUCGGGUUAAUCUCCUUCUCUCAUUUGCUAGGAUUAUGAUAUUUAUUAUAGCAGAAGGAGCAGAGAAGCAGGAAUGCGUAUGGAAGACAGAGGCAUCUUCCAGCUCAGCCUGCACAAAUUCCCAUUUUUUUUUAAUUUUUCCAGGGGAAUACAGCAGUAUUAUUUCAGAGCAAAUGCCUGCACAGCCCCGUCUCUGCAAACACCACUCGAUCAGUGCAACUCUCUGGUGUGAGCUCAUUUAACAAGCGGUUGCCUUGCAGGCUGUGGAGAAUUGCCUCUUACCUAAUAAUUCUGCUAAUUUGCUUAACUUUCCCAGAUUGCAAAUGGCCCUGCCCUGAACAAGCAGCUUUCUAAAUGAACCCCCAGACAAUUUCUUGACAAGAAGGGAUCGGAGAGGUGCCUGCUCGGGGAGCUGAAGCUCUCAGCCUUUUUAUUUCUGACCUUUGGGCUAGCAUUCAGAUUUGCUUGUUGGGAAAACUGCAUUCCAAGUGUAUUUUCUUCAGGGAUUUACAAUACCCUUCUGCUUGUAAUUAUUCUCACCUGAUGUCUUCCAUAAAUUAGUUAAAGAUGCUUCUAUUAGUGAGCUCCCGUCCUGUUAAUUAUCGUGCUGCAGUUCCUUGCUGGUGGCCGCUCUGCAGCACCGGGGCUGCAUCCGUGCAAAGCUCCCGGCCGAGAGAUCAGGGAUGUAGUGUGUGGGUAAUACAAACGUCUGAGCAAUCUGGGAAAGAAAUGAAAACUGCUGUAAAGGUAAAUGUCAGACUAUUUAAAGACAAUGUUGACUAUUGAUUUUUCGGACGAGACUACCUCUUCAAAGGAUGGCAAGCGUUCCUUCGGAUCCAGACGAGGUAACUUAGGUGGAGGGGAAAGAGGGGGAGGUGAGGGAGUGGGGAGGGCAGAGAUUUUCCCAGCGAGCAAAACGAAUGCUUUACAAAACCGCUGGGAUCAAAGAUGUGGGUUGGGCUUUCCACAAAAUCCACCUUUCAGCCCCUUUAAGCACCAUGCCUUUCCCAAGAAACAAAGGGCUGAGAGGUGCUUGGAAGCACUGAUGAAUAAUAACAAGAUGAGUAGCAAAAUACUCGUUUCACUGCAGCUUUCCAUUGAAAAAUGAAACUUCAGGCACUCUCAGUGACUACUGAUGUGGCAAACUCACCAAGCUCCCUGAUCCCAUCCACGCUUCCUGGCACAUCAGCGUUGCAUGGGAUGAUGAGCAGAAAGGGGGAAGCAAAGCCAUCGUUCUCUAUGUACCUACAACCCAAAAUCUUUUGGGGGAAAUUACAAUCAAACUGGCAAUUUUGGGGUCAUCCUUUCGAACUUUGGCUUCAUACGGUUUAAAGGAAAAUGAAGCCUGGAAUAAAAACUUUGUCUUUUUAAAAAUGAAGUGCAUGUGUACAUCUAUAUAAAAUACACACGUAUGUAUGCAAAGACAGGUUUGGUGGGGAUCCUGAGUGACUCUGUGGAAACAGCACGGCCACCUCAGGAGACACUGGUGUGACUCCGAGCCCUGGCACAUGGAAACCACUCGAAUCUGUAGUUAAAUCUAAAUGAAAAGCCUAUUACUCAUAAAUAAAGGGGGGCUGGGCUGCUGCAGUAGUUUAAAGCAGAAUUCUUCAUCGGUGUUGGAAUUUAAAGAUUGUAAAAUGCCACUUUGAGGCAUUAUGCAGUUGUGCAGAAACACUUCUUCUGCAGUGAAUUUAGUUCCAAGAACAGAUCUGGACCUAAGAGCUAUUACCUCUUUGUUUUAAGGUGCAAUCUGUCAUCCUGCAAGCUUCCUCGCAUGAAAAGUUUCGGGAUUGGGUAUUGAAAGGGCAUCAGCAAGAGCUGCAAAUAGCCUUAAGGUGAUCCAGGAGCAACUCCGCUCCCAGCAGCGGCUGCUUGGGUGAUGCUGGGCAGGAUCUGAGGUGGGGACACGGCAGGACAGAUCCUCCCUGCUCCCUGCCUUCCCCUCUAUGGUGUUUUUUGGGUGCUUGAGUUUUAAGAUCGCAAGAGAACUUCUUUGGCACUCAACCCAACUUGCAGAAAGCCCUGAGUCCGUGCAGGUCCUAAGGACUGCUGCCUGGGGUAACUUCUGGUUUCCACGCCUUAUUUCAACGUGGAGGUCUUCAGACAGCGUUAAAUGACAGAUGAUAGAAUUUCUGCAAGUGAUGUUCAUCUGAAUUUUAUUUUCUGAUGUUUUGACUCAUUGACUUGAUGUCUCUCUAUUAUGCACACACCUCUGGAGAUGUUACUGGCUAUGAUUAUGCGUGGCAUCGAGUUAGUGAAUAAAACCACUGCAGGAACUGCUUUACAGAUCACAGUAUCAUUUUCUCUAUAAUUGUCCCACAAACGGUGGAAGUUAUAUGGAGAGAGCAGCGUUCCCUGACAGACUGCAUAUUUUUGCAGCGUGCAUCAGAUCUCACUUUGGCUUCUGAGACUUAUUUCUGAUGGUUCUUGGGGAUUUAACUUUAAGACCAACGUUUUUUAGUAUCCAUAUACACUCCACUCUUCAUGUCAUCCAGCAGCACCAGAGGAUGAGCUGUCUCCUUAAUAUGGAUGAGAUACCAAUUUAUCUAAGUUAUCACCUCACUAUCUCUCAUUCAUCUCUGCUGUUAACUGCUGUGUUUCUGACAUCCAUACCUAAACAAUCAGCAACUUCUUCUCCUUUAAUUGAAACCAUAAGUAAUUUUUGGCUGGAAGUUCUUGUUGUGUGUGUAUAACGGCUUCUUCAUCUCCCAGCUGGAAUUCAGUGAUCCUGUGACUGAAUCAGGCUCUGGACACCUCAUUUUAAACCCACAACAUCACACAGACCCACUCAGCACAGUAAAUCAAAAGUCAGGGCAUCUUGCCACCAUCUGAAGAUAUAUGACCAAAUUAACAUGUCCCAAGCUCACUGCGAACAACACUUGCGGAUGGCCCAGGCGUUUGGCUGCAAAGUCAGCAAAGCUUUCCCCCUUCCUGAUACAUUCCCAGAACUGUGAAACUUAGCCCUACUCUUGGUAUUCUCUUUAUAGAGGGCCCCGGCUGUAUUAUGUAUCAAAUAAAGGUCUCAUUACUUAGUUCCUGGCUCCUUCGUGCCAUUGCUCUCAUUAAUCAUCCUGUUCUUCCAGCCCAUGCUGCAAGCCAUUGGGACUGCCUCAGUGUCCACCCCUGAAUUAAAGGCUUCAUUCCCAGACCCUCCAAGCUGGUGGUCUCCAUCCUUUCGUGACCCACUGGCAUACAGCCCCACAUUGCUGGGGGCACUUGGCCAUGAUGUCUGGAGUGCCAGUGCAAAGAAGUGGUCUUCCAAGUCUCAUCUAGGGGUCACCAGGGUGUUGCAAAGAGCACUGUGUUGUGCCUGCACUGAGAGACUCAACAAGGACACAAAAUGGAGAACAGAUUUGGUCGUGCCCCAAAUCUGUUAAUUUCACCCCCAAUCUCCUUCCAAAAAUCGUUGCCAAUUAUUGAGUACAGCAAAUGUACACCACCCACUUCUGUCCUGCUUGGUUUCACCCCCUGCACAGGGAGCACCCAAAUGAGCCCCACACUCUGUACUCCCCCCAGCAGAGCAGCACAGCUGCUUUCCUCUCUUCCUUGUGGUUCUCAGCAUAGAUCCCACGGGGUUUGCCACUUUCUGUGGGUAAUAUUUUUUUGCAGAAGCACAAACGACUCGCUCAGAGCCUUGGAAUCUAGCUCCCUUUGUGCUGAGGAUGAAAUGCAAAGAGGCAGAAAUGCAGUGGAGAGCAAACUUCUCUCAGCUGCAUGAUUUUACCAAAUCUGAUGGUUUAUUCAUUUUAAUUACCCUUGGAAUUCGUAUUUGUGUAUACAUAUACAUGAAUUCAUGUAAUAACAUGUAAUUAGUUUAGAGUUUGACAUUUCAGAACAGGUAAUUAAAAGAGUUUGUUGUUGAUUAAUCGCUUGCAAAAUAAAUUAUUAGCAGUAUCACCGUUAACGUUAUGUUUAUUACUACAAUUUGGAGAAAUUAAGGCAGUUCACUUACAUUAAAUUAAACACGAAGGCACAGAUGUAAUGUACCCUAGACAAUAUCUAUUUACCCAGAGAACGAAUGUGAUGUGUGCGUUACAAUACAUUUGCUAGGUCAUACAUCUCGGAUGGCCUCUGCGUGUCACCACCAGAAACUUAACACCGACGCACGGACACUUCCCAUUUCUUUCCAUACAUAGAAAAUUCGGGUAUGCCGGACCUCAACCCCUGCUCUGCACUGCAGCUCUGCGGGAUCUGCGGAUGCUGCAGGGUGCUCAGAGCUGCCUGGGGAGGAGGGAGCAGGCUGAGCAUAGGAGCUAGCAGGGGCAUGAGGGGCCAUGCCAAAUGCAAGCCCACAAAGCCUGCAUGUGGCAAAGAAAAUCAAUUUUUUACAUCCUCAGCAGACCCCCAGGCCAUUGUCAUGAACCAGAUUAUAGCCAAAGUGUGCAGAAACGGAAUAAAUCUCAGCACGACUCAAUGAGGUGCUAAAGGCUUAAGCAGAUUGGUUAAGUAUAAGUUGAAUUUGAUCUUUAAGCAACUGUGCACGGUCUCUACUGGGAUGCCGAGAGGUUUUGUCCUGUGAGGAGAUAAGGAGCCCUUGCUUUUGACAACUGUUUUGUCUGGAGGCCCUUCUGAUCCGAGUCUGAGAGAGCAAAGGCAAAAGUCAGUGGAGAUGAAAAGGAUGCUCUCUGGAUCUGUCCCUCUGUGGUUUUAUAGCUAUGGGAAAUAAUCUAUAAUUAGGUGUAUAAAACAGCUCUCUGAUCUCUUUGCUUCUGGCCCAAAAGAGCACAGAAUUGAUAACUCAAUUAUCUCUGCUGGAAAUACAAAUAAAUUACAAGCACGUGGUGGGAGGAACUCCAAUAAAGGGGCACCCGCACAGCACAACGGGCGCUGCUCUGCAGCUGUGGGACCUCAACGCUGCUGCUGGGGUGAGGCUGGAAGGCAGUGGGUGCUCUUUGCUGGGGACUCCUUGAGGCUGAAUAUCUCUCUGGAUGGUGGCAGCCACUGGCAAAAGCACUGGGGCAAAGAUGGAACCCUCCCAAAUGGACCCAGGAGAAAAGCCAGGGCAAAAGCUCACUGGAAGAGGAGACACUGUCCUGGAAGAGCGUGGCUUCUCAGAAAGGUGAUGAGCUCAGCUUGGGAAUGGGGUGAGAAAAGCAGGGCUGGGUUUAAACAGCUUUCCACAAAUGAGAAUAAUGAGUGAUUAUCCUUUUCCUGGCAAAUUCCUGGGAGUUUCCAUUUGGAAUUUACAACCGGAGCAGUGUAGGAUCUCAGGGGUCUCCUUCAUGUUCUGCCAAGCCAGCAGAGCCACCAUCCAGCAUCUACACCAACACCAACCCCUCUCCCCGCUGAGGCUCGUUUCUAAUGACUCCUGGGCUGAAUUAACAGUCUGUGCUUGUGUGACAAUGACAAUCAGCGCUAAUGACCACUCUGUUUGUCUAAUCCACAUGCUGAGCACUGAUUUCGGUCCCUGCCUCAGACUCCCUUUGCAAAAGAGUCUUUUUAAGCAAUUUAAAAUGUGCAGGAUGCACUGGGCUGUCCAUCCCUGCUCCUUUGAUAUUCUGCCGCCUGGAAGUGUCCUUGAGCCAACAGGCAGCACCUGUAGCGAGGUGUGCCCUAGGAUGAUGCAAAGAGCAAGAUGAGAAAAGCCUUUGCAUUUCAUAUCCUGUUCGGUCGACCUAUUCAGUAAUCAGGAAAAUUAUAUUUAAACAAUUUGCCCUUUGAUGCAAUCCAAGCGGCUCUGAAGGGCAAGUGCACUAUCACAGAAAGCUCCGUUUUUAUUCUGCAGCACACUUCGUGACCCCACGGGGAGUGUGUGGCAGUGCAGAUCCGUGGUUUAUUUAGAAAAGGAAAACAAAAGCACUCAACUGCCCCCGAAACCUUUGUGCCCCUUCCAAAAUGUCCCCCAAUUCACGAGGAGCGGGAAAACCAACCCAACUAUUUCCUCCUAUUCGCUCUGCCCAUUGGCAUGCAUUGCUUCACUGCUGGGGAGAAACAAGGUAGCACAAUAAUAUUCACUUUAUGGACUUGACUUUUUUAUUUAGGCAGCAGCAUCUCCCAUAAAGAAGCCUGGUGCACGUCAUCCUUCCUCCCUGCCCAUGGCAUGGGGCAGACGGUAGAGCAAUUCCAGCUGAAAGCUUUUAGCUCCUGUAACCGAUGAUUUAUAUUUGUGCUGUAAUAGCCAGAUACAGCAAUAAUAGUAAGGAUUUAAUUGUUUUAAUGAAAGUAGCUUUUUUUUUUUUCCUGCAUUCGAAUCAAUUUGCUAAGUUUGGAUGAUGGAACGUAAGAAUGGAUUUAGCUGCGCUUUCCGCACGCUCUGAACAAAAAGGCACAAGGCAUUUCAAAAGAACCAGCCUGACAUAUUAAAACUCUUAAUAAGUAAUAUCUGCAUAACUAAAGGCAAUAGGAGCAGUCCAACCUGAAGAAAAAAGGGCUUUACAGGAAUUAGCGUCUCAUUGUCACAUUUGUAAAAGGGACACAUGCAUUUUUCAGAUCUUUGCACAUUAAUGGCUGUAUUUGAUUCAAAAUACAGUCAGUGAACCCUCAGUAAAUGGAAUUAAAUGGUAUGUGUCUGAUUUGAGGGUGACAAUCCGCCAAUUGUUUCUUGUUUGAAUUACUACCUGCGUGGCUGGGCACAGCAGUAAUUGAAACUAUAAUGUUUCAUUCCUCUUUAGCUAUAAUUUAUCUGCAAAGUUCACUCUCUGCUGUUCUGUUCCCCUUCCUGAAAUCUCUCCUUUAACCGUUAUGGUGCUGUUGGGGACUGUAUCCCUCCUGCACACCCCAUGGAGCUCUGGGGAGCCCACCCUCACAUGGCACCGUGGAUUUCCCAUCGAAACUCAGAGCACACAGCGGCUUUGAGACCAUCUUAUGGAAAAACCAGUACAUGGCAUCACCAAACAUUAAACACUGUGUAGUCAGAAUUAUUGGCUGAACGGAGGAGAACCCGACGUUGCUCUUUCUUCUAUCCAUGCCUCGCUUUUCUAUUUUAGUCAUUUAUUGUAUUCUAUGCAGAGGUGAUGGGGCUGGACUCAGUGAUCCUCAUGGGUCCCUUCUGACUCAGGAUAUUCUGUGAUUCUUUGAUUCUAUGACCUGUGGCUGCCACAGUAGGAUCAGUGCUCAGCUUCUGCUAUAGAUAACAAAUAGAUGGCCUCUCUCCUUAUGCUAUCCAUUUAUAAGCAAUUUCUAGUCUGUUCUCACCCGAUAUUGAUAAACAGAAGAAAAUGGAAUGUAUUUUAUUCAUCCAUAAAGUCUGACAUUUCCAAAGAUGGAAUUACAUUACUCUCCUCAUCUAUCUGCAGCUCGUGGGGCUGUGGGUUGGACAUGCCCAUGUACUGCAGAGCAAUGGCACCCAACCUCUGAGCCUUUACAGGCUGGAUGUACCUACUGAACACUCUUUUUUUAUGCUCACCUCAGAGUGCAGGCUGAAUAAUUGGAGCAAGUGGCUGCAUUUUUCCGAAUAAAAGUGGGAUUUGUAUGUGGCAGAGGUCAGCGGUGCUGGGAGGGAAAGGUAAUUGACAUUCCCUUUGGGAAAACUGUAAAAAUUUGGACAGUGAUUGCUUUGGAUUUAUUGUCUGAUGACAACAUGGAAACAAACAAACAGCACAAUUAAGUGCAACUAAAGCAGUUCGGUUAUGCUGUGAGACUGAUGGCAGAGAGGGACUGGUCAGAACCUGUCUGUUUUUCAGCUCUUUCCCACCAACAAUGACGUUAGGGCAUCACAACAUGAAAAAGAAUAAAAAUAAAGAAGCCAAUGAAGUGGCUCUGAGUGAUGCUGGAAAGUGUCCCUGCUCCCAUGGGGCUCCCUGUGAUGCUGCAAUGCUGAUGGGCUGCAGGUCGCCCUGAUGGAAUUUGUGUGGCAUCCCACACCCCACCGUGGUGAGAGGAGAGCCCGUCUGCUGUCCAGCCCACAUGCCUCUGAUAAAGAAAUACCUGUGUAUGUGAUAGAAAUGCAUGUAUAUACCCACACUGCUGCAAAUCUGGUGUGGAUGUGCUAGGUGCACAGCUCGGAUUAACCCUUUCCUGGGUCACCCCUGUUCUUGGAACAAAACGUGCAUUAAAUUAAAAUGUUAAGAGAUUAAUUUGUAGCAGCUUUUCGUCAGCUUCUGCUUAAAGGUCAGCUUCGAUAUCCUUGCUGUUGGGAUAUUUCCAACAGGGAGCAAAUUGCUGACCCUCAUUCCACUCCCCCUCCUCCAGUCUUUCUGAGCAAGGCACUGGUUGUGUGCAUGCGGGAGGGCUGUCAGCACCUGGCAAGGCAGUCCUGUGUGCUGGGACACUUUGCUCUGAGCUGAGCUGAAGCAAAGGCUCGGAUAUUGCUCGUUCAUGUGGGUUUGCACGAGCAGCCACAAACCCCAUGCAAAACUAUGGAGCAUCUCUGCUGCCUCAUUGUCACGUGUAUCAAACUGAUGUGUCAUUAAUAAUUAAAACUAUAUAUACUUUUCAAAUCUAAAGUACAGGACAGCAGUUCUUCAGCUGCUCCCUUGCCAGAGACAGCAUCUCUUCCUUUGCUUGCUCUCAUAGGUGCUGCUGCAGCACUGAGCUGUGCAAGCCUUGGACAUCGCCAUUCCUUUAUCACUCACUUCUGCCCAGGCUCUGUCUUUUCCCAUUAGGUGACUGUGCAGAAGUGUGUCCCACACCUCCUCUCGCUGUACCUCUAUCUCCAAACUGCAAUUGGGUUUCUUGGGGUUUAAUGGGAGCGCAGCAACUCCGGUGCAUUUAAAUAGCUGAUUUCUCCGCGUCUGAUUCAGGUCUUGCCUCCGGUGAUAUCAGCCUGGCUGCUGCUGGGGGACAAUGGCAUUCAGUGAAGGAGAAAAGCACUCAGGCACAUCUGUGGGGCAGGGCAGGUUUGGAUCCCACCAUCCCCAUGGUGAUGUCCCAGGGCCCUGCUGCUUCCUUUCUCAUUCUGAUGCACACCCCAAGCUCUGGGCAGUGCCAGCACCGCCAAUCAAUGCUCGGGCAGUUAUGGACAGCCCACCUUGCCUCUCAGCUUAGAUUCCAAGGGGCUGCCACCACACUGUGCCCAUGUCCCCUGCAUAUUUUGCUUCCCCUGAGACCCCCGUGCCACCCCAUGCACAGCCCUCCCAACCCGAGGCCGUGUCCCGCAGUGGCCGUGCUCUGCCCACCACCCGCACACAUCUCUCCUGACCCCGCAUCGCAGGGAUAAUUCCUGCUGUCACGUCUGACAUUUAGCCGUCCAGCGAGCCUUGCCAGGAAAUUGCCAUCAUUUCAGUUCGGCUCCCAGUUCCCAUUCUGAUUUAUAUUUUUGUUUUUAUCCAAUUUUUCUGACUUGUUUUGGUAGGGUGGACAAAAUGUUCUCUCCCAAGACAGAUGACAGUUUGCCGAUAAGAGGAGCAACUUAUCACAAGCAGCUCCAAUUCUUUCUCAAAUGCUUAGUCUGUUGGAACGGCUUUAAAGCCUAAUGCGAUAUUGUAGGUUAGCCCCAAAUCUGCUUCCCCCCCUGUAUUUCAUAUUUUAUGGCCCCGAGCAUCGCUCCUUUUAAAACAAAACACUUCAAUCUUCUCCCCACCAUCUACAGUUUUCUUCCUUCUUUCCCCUCACUGUUAAUUUCACUUUUUAAAACUUAUUUUAGGAUGGCAAGUAAAGUAAACAGUGUGGAUGGGUGACCUCUUGGAAGCUCGGUGUCCUUGAGGCUAACUUUAGAAAUCAUUUGUCACAGGCACAGAAAUGUGCACUGCAAUCAGAAUUAGCUGCCAGAACUUUUUUUUUUCCCCAGACAAUUAUAUUGUAAUUUGAGUGGCAUUCUUGACAAUAGUUCAGGUUCUCCAGCCAUACCCAGCAAACUGUGCACUGCAAAGAAAGAGUCCUGUCCUAUUCUGGUUUAAAAAUCCUUUUAUUUCAGUAUUUUUUGGGAAAUAAAUUAAAUAAGUGGUAGAAGAGAGGCAAGGAAACGGAAGAGCUUUGAGCUCUGGAGAUGAGCCCAGUAGGCUAAGAGGUUAUUAUAUGAUGGGGUUUAGUCCAGCAAAACGGACACCCUACCAGAACUGGGUGAAUAAUGUGCAAUUAGUCGUCUGGGCCAGAAAAACUCAGGUUAUUUCAUGCCCUCAAAUAGUCCUCCAUUUCUGUGCAUAUAAUUUUGGGGCAAAGCCUCUGUAUUUAUGACAUUCGCUAAGAGAAGCAGAAGGAGCCAUGACCUGAAAUGAGGGAUCUCAAGCUGCAAGUCUCAGUCCCAUGGGGGUCAGCCCUCCUGGAGUUUUGUUCCAAGACCUUUCAAGGUCUGGAGACACCUGCAGCCAGCACAGUGCCUCUCUUACACGCAGUUUUUACUUGGAAAUAGGGAUGCGGUGUCUCACAAGGGCACAAUCCACCUAAUUAUUAUCUUUCCUCCGCCUUUUUUCAUCCUUAAAUUAUGCUUUAAUGCAUCCUGUGAAUUCAGAUCCCAGUUUAGCAAGGUGCUAAGUCUUUGAACACCGAGAGCCCUCCUGAAGAGCCUCAACAUUAAGCCCCAUCCCACAGGACAGAUACUAAUUACCUCUCACAGCUUCCAUGAAAGAUGCAGCAUUUUACCUCCGAUCCAGAGCAUGUCCAUAAAUAUCAGCCCAGCUCGCAGACAAGCGAUGGGAAAUCUAAAUCACAGAGCUGGCCAGGGCUCACCCGUGGUUCAUCUUUGUACAGGAGAGAGCUGGGCUGAAAUCUCUGCAGGGCAGGAGGUCCAGAGGACAUUAUCGCGUGGUGCAAACAGCAGGGAAAAAUAUCCCAUCAAGAUGCUCAGGAUAAUCCCAUCUCCUCUGGAUUCCCAGGGAAGCUCAUAGAGAGCUCCUGAGUGCAUCGGUAAAUUUAACUGCAAAACCUAGGAGGAUUUCCAACCCUUCAAUGUUUUUCCAGCAUUUUGUUUGCCUUUUAUUAUCUCAAAUAGAUAUUUUUUUUUAUGGCACUGCUCCUUUAGAGAGAGCCAUCCUGUACAACACCCAGAAAAGCCCUUUGUGAGCCAGGUGGGCUCUGUGCUGGAAGAGAAGACAUCUCCCCACCUCUACAACCCCACGGCAGGUGCUCACCUGAGGGCUCCUUAGUGAAAAGCGGCGAAGUUAUCAAACACCAACCAAGUGUGGUGGCUUCAGUGCAUGUCUACAGAUCCCAAAGGUCCCAGCUCCCAGCCGUGCUGCCUUACCACUUAGUGUGAUGGGCUCUUGGUCAAACCUCGGAGAGAUGACUCCUGGAGGGAAGGGAAAGGUGCUGGGAGUGGGCAUACAUGGGUGUCCCCGAGGAAGAGUGGGAUGAUACGGAGUGGCAAAGCUUCAACGCCUCUUCCAGCACAACAAUCCAUCUCCAAGGCAGCCCCAUCCCAUAAAGUGCUGGCGGAUCGUAGGGGCGAAAUGGCGAUUUCACCCGCUAAUUAUAAAAAUGCCAGCCAAAAAACCUGCACGGGAUGAUUUCUUGCAUUAAACAAAUUUUAUAGCGGAGAAGACUUUUAGCGGCGCUAUUUGCAGCCCUGGCCUUUCGCCAGCUCGCUGUCAUUAAAUCCGCCGAUCUUAAGUAUCAGCUGCACUUAUUCGAAGGGGCUAUAAAUAAAAUGCUGGAGCCCAUUAAAGGAGCCUGCUUCCCCGGGCUGUUUGUCAUGGCUGCGGACAGACGGACACCGGGAGUAUUUGGGGGAACUUCCCAGCACUGCGGGGCUGAGCACAGGACUGAGCUUUCUCAUGCACACGGAUCUCUCUCACACCCUUGGCUUUGCAAAACCCAGCUCCUUUCUGCUGGUGCAGCCCCUGUGAAAAAUGCCCAGCAGCACUAAUGUGUGCCUAAUGACCCAUGGCCCAGAAAUGACUAAGAUACAGGAAUUAAAUUUACAAUCAACCUCUCUCUCU